AGCGUCUACGGAGAAUUAUCUGCACUAGAGGGCAGACUGCAAACCAGCAGGAUUCCUGGGUUCCUCUUCCAGGAGGCAAGGGUGGUCAAGAAAGACAUCUGUAAGGGAGGUGAUAUUUAAGUUGAGACCCAAGAAGAGAAGGAGUAGCUGGCUGUAUGAAUAGCAUGUGCAAAGCCCUGCAGCAUGAAAGAGAUUGUGGUUGUAGAACAGAAACACUGCUGGGAUGAGGCAUCUCAGUAGCAAGCCGAGGAUAAGAGGGUCUUGAGAUGAGAGUGGGUACAGACCAGAUCAUGGAGAGAUUUACAAGUCACGGUUAAACAGUUUGGAUUUCAUUCCAAGUUUCUUAAAUGGCAUAUCGUCACAAGACCAGAAGAGACCUUUGGGACUCAUUCCAUCUGUCAGACGACCUCUAGGGCUCCUUCCAGUUCUAUGACUUUGUGAAUCUCAAUCAACAUGGACUCAAGAACAAUUCUGGUAUUAGCUAUGGACAGGUGUUCUAGAUCAGCUGACAGCUCUGCUCCACAAUUCAAUUCAGAGAACUGGUCUAAAGAUACUUGGCCUUCAAAGUCACUCUAAUAAUAGCCCUUCCAGUCAGUCCAUCAGAAAGAAGACAAGCUGAAGUCCUGGAAAAUAAUUUUCCAAGUUUAUUGUCAGAUGAAGAGUUAAAGAAUGCACCAAAAAAAGUGUUGUAAAAUCUCAAAAGAAUUUCUGGUCUUCUACGCAUAGCAGGUCAUAAAACCUCAUGGGAGAAAUGCCCUCCCUAUACCCAGAGGAAAGGAAUGUCUGCCUCACCGGGAACAGAGAGAAGCAGCAGAACAAACAGGCCUUGCUAAGUUCUCCCUAUUUUAUUACCAUUAAAUCAUACUGAUUUUUUCUCCAGUGAUAUUUCUCCAUUACAGUUUACCUCUUCAUCAAACCUAAGCAUAAAAAUACAUAAGUUUACCUGUUCCUUUGAGUCAUUUCCUUAUGAAGGCCCCCAUGUCAUAUAAAGCUUAUUAAAUACGUGUAUGUCUUUCUCCUGUUCAUCUGUCUUUGUCAGUUUUAUUUCCAGACCCAGCCAUGGACCCCAAAAUAGUUGAGGAAAAUCUUUUCUCCCCUACAGUUUCUGGCAACCAUGAAGAGACAGCUAAGACUACACUCAUUUCGGAGCAUGCAGAUAAAUCCUAAAAUAACUGACAAAAAGCCGAUGAAAGGGCUGGGAAAGUGAAAAGAAAAGAAAAACUCUGCAUCCACUAAAGCACACUCUACCCCCGCCUAAGCCAUUUGCACCAGCCCCAGGUGAAGCCUUCACUUUUAAAUGCAGAAAAGGAAAACGAAGCCACUCAGAGAUGCUCAUCUUAGGUCUCUGAGCUCUCAAAGGACUGCCAGAAGAUACAUCUACAUUUCAAAGGAAAACCAGACUCAGACUCCCUGAGUCUUUGUAGGAAGACCUGAGUUAAGAACUCUAGGAUAGAGUCUGGAUUGUUGGGAGAAAAAGGAUUCAGUUGGCAGAAAAGAAUGGGAGAUUGACACCUGGUAAGGAAACCUUGCAAAAUAUUGAAAAUCGCUCACCAGCCUCUGAGAUGUUUGUAGACCCCUAGUGGUUAAGGAGACCCAAAAUGAAAACCAACUAGGUUUCCAUCAACUCAGCAGAUGCCAGUCCUGGCAGAUAAUGGCACGAAUCAAAAGUCCAGCCACCUCCUCCCACUAAUGCUUUGGGUCUCUGUAGGCUCCUUGGACCUUAGUGGGUACGCCCAGAACAAACACACAACAAGUUGUAGCUACAUGACUAGCCUAAGAAAGCCCUAGGGUCUCUCCUAUUGUCAGAGAUUAGGCUUCUGCAUCCUGGCAGACAGACAACUUUGAAUAAAAAAUACGUUUAGUUACAG